rnacentral:rRNA from 1 species
UCAGAGGUGAAAUUCUUGGAUUGAUUGAAGACUAACUACUGCGAAAGCAUUUGCCAAGGAUGUUUUCAUUAAUCAGUGAACGAAAGUUAGGGGAUCGAAGACGAUCAGAUACCGUCGUAGUCUUAACCAUAAACUAUGCCGACUAGGGAUCGGACGGGAUUCUAUAAUGACCCGUUCGGCACCUUACGAGAAAUCAAAGUUUUUGGG